rnacentral:rRNA from 1 species
GACGAACGCUGGCGGCGUGCUUAACACAUGCAAGUCGAACGGGAGUAUUGAAGAAGCUUGCUUUAGAGAUACUUAGUGGCGGACGGGUGAGUAACGCGUGAGGAGCUGUCCUAUGCAGGGGGACAACAGCUGGAAACGGCUGCUAAUACCCCAUAAGCCGAGAGGUAAAAGGAUCAAUCCGGCAGAGGAGGUACUCGCGUCCUAUCAGCUAGUAGGUGAGGUAACGGCUCACCUAGGCGAAGACGGGUAGCCGGCCUGAGAGGGCGAACGGCCACACUGGAACUGAGAUACGGUCCAGACUCCUACGGGAGGCAGCAGUGGGGAAUAUUGGGCAAUGGGGGAAACCCUGACCCAGCGACGCCGCGUGGGUGAAGAAAUCCUUCGGGAUGUAAAGCCCUGUUGUAUGGGAAGAGCGGAAGACGGUACCAUACGAGGAAGCCCCGGCAAACUACGUG